AGACUAAAUAGACAAUAAAUGGAGAUAAGAUAUAGAAUAGAUCUAAUAUUCAAAAUCAUUUUUUGUCCCAUGUCGCAGAAGUAUUAGGAUUCUUUUACUAUUUUAUGUGUCAUUCUCAAUGUUAUGGAUUCUGUUUAAAAUUGAGAUCCACAUUAAAACUCGUUUCACAUAUCAAGGAAUAUUAUUUUCUGUGAGAUGUCCUAAAAAUAUAUUCUAAAGUUAAGAAUAUAAUAUUUAUGUACAUAUACAUUUUUUAUUAAAAAUUAAAACAGUUUUGAGAGAAAAAUAAUAAAAGCAUGUUCAAUUAAUAUCUUCUACCUCAACUAUGGUCACGCGCCAAGAACAAGUAUAGACAAGGAGAAUAAAUAAUAAGAAAAGAAUAGAGAUAGAAUAAAAAUUCAGGAAUUAAUAGCACAAUAUUCAGAAUGCCAUAAAUAAAAUACAUAAAGAAAGAACAGAAAAUAAUGGACAAAGAUAGAAAUGAAAUAAGAAUUGAUUAUCAAUGCCAUCUCUUAAAUGUCAAACAUUUCUUUAAAAAUGAAAUAGAGUAAAAAUUGAAUGUAGCGCCGUUUUUUAAAUAUUCUAUUUUACCUUUUUUUUUUUUGAAAAGUUACCUUAUAUUUUUUGUUGUACUAUCGAUUAACAAUUCCCAUCUAUGUAUAUAUUUCUUUAUAUUGUAAUACAUAUAAAAUAAUUACAUUUUAUUAUAUAUUUUAUACAUACGUAAAUUUUUUUUCUAUAAAUAUAAAUUUUCUAUAAAUUUAAAUUUAUUUAAAUUUUCUAUAAAUAUAUAUAGAUUAUAUGUAAAUUAUUAUUACAAUAAAAUAAAAAAAAACAUA